rnacentral:ncRNA from 1 species
CAUAGGUUUGGUCCUGGCCUUUUUAUUAGUUUUUAGUAGACUUACACAUGCAAGUAUCCUCGCCCCAGUGAGAAUGCCCUCUACAUCCAUAAGGAUUUAAAGGUGCAGGUAUCAAGUACGCUCCUCCUCGAGCAGCUCAUGACACCUUGCUAUACCACACCCCCACGGGAGACAGCAGUGAUUAAAAUUGAGACAUAAACGAAAGUUUGACUGAGUCAUACUAAUAUCAGGGUUGGUAAAUUUCGUGCCAGCCACCGCGGUCACACGAUUAACCCUAAUUAAUAAAGCACGGCGUAAAGCGUGAUUAAGGUUUGACCCUAAAUAAGAUUAAGCUCUAACUAAGCUGUAAAAAGCCCUAGUUAAAAUAAAAAUAUAUAACGAAAGUAAUCUUAUAACCCCUGAAUUCACGAUAGCUAAGGCCCAAACUGGGAUUAGAUACCCCACUAUGCUUAGCCCUAAACAUAAAUAUUCAACUAACAAGAAUGUUCGCCAGAGAACUACUAGCCACUGCUUAAAACUCAAAGGACUUGGCGGUGCUUUACACCCCUCUAGAGGAGCCUGUUCUAUAAUCGAUAAACCCCGUUAAACCUAACCACUCUUUGCAAUGUCAGCCUAUAUACCGCCAUCUUCAGCAAACCCUAACAAGGUACUAUAGUAAGCACAAUAAUUCCACAUAAAAACGUUAGGUCAAGGUGUAGCCCAUAGAGUGGGAAGAAAUGGGCUACAUUUUCUAAUUCCUAGAACAUUUUCACGACAGCUGUCAUGAAAUAUGACUAGCCCAAGGUGGAUUUAGUAGUAAGCUGGGAAUAGAGUGCCCAGCUGAAUUGGGCAAUAAAGCACGCACACACCGCCCGUCACCCUCUUCAAGCACCUAAGAUUUGCUUCACAUAACUAAUAUAAUCAAUCUCCUAAAUGCAAGAAGAGAUAAGUCGUAACAAGGUAAACAUACUGGAAAGUGUGUUUGGAAUAU